rnacentral:rRNA from 1 species
UACAGAGGAGGCAAGCGUUAUUCGGAAUCAUUGGGCUUAAAGCGCGUGUAGGCGGCUGUGUAAGUGUUCUGUGAAAUCCCGCGGCUCAACCGCGGAACGGCAGGGCAAACUGCACGGCUUGAGGUCGGUAGGGGUGCUCGGAACUCUAGGUGGAGCGGUGAAAUGCGUAGAUAUCUAGAGGAACGCCGGAGGCGAAAGCGGAGCACUGGGCCGAAUCUGACGCUGAUACGCGAAAGCGUGGGGAGCAAACAGGAUUAGAUACCCUGGUAGUCCACGCUGUAAACGAUGCACACUAGGUGACGGAGGCUCUGACGCCCUCGCCGCCGAAGGAAAACUGGUUAGUGUGCCGCCUGGGGAGUACGGCCGCAAGGCUAAA